CAAUAUAUGUAGUGGGGGGGUCACUGCUCCGUCUCUCUUUCAGUUAAGGGGUCCUUGGCUUAAAUAACGUUGAAGACUCCUGCCUUAUAGGAUUUUUUGUGG